UACGAAGGGGGCUAGCGUUGUCCGGGAUUAUUGGGCGUAAAGGGCGCGUAGGCGGCCUGGCAAGUGGAAGGUGAAAUCCCUCGGCUUAACCGAGGAACUGCCCUCCAAACUGCUUGGCUUGAGUCCGGGAGAGGUGAGUGGAAUUCCCAGUGUAGCGGUGAAAUGCGUAGAUAUUGGGAGGAACACCAGUGGCGAAAGCGGCUCACUGGACCGGAACUGACGCUGAUGCGCGAAAGCGUGGGGAUCAAACAGG
rnacentral:rRNA from 1 species